rnacentral:rRNA from 1 species
GGCAUAACCUCGGGAAACUGAGAAUAAUACUCCAUAGAUCUAGAAUGCUGGAAUGCUUUUAGGUCGAAAACUCCGGUGCCUUAGGAUUGGUCUGCGGCGUAUCAGGUUGUAGUGGGUGUAACGGACCCACUAGCCGAUGACGCGUAUGGGCCUUGAGAGAGGAAGCCCAGAGAUGGACUCUGAGACAUGAGUCCAGGCCCUACGGGGCGCAGCAGUCGCGAAAACUUCACAAUGGGGGCAACCCCGAUGAGGGAAUUCCAAGUGCUAGCACUUUUUGUGUUAGCUGUUCUUUUGUCUAAAAAACAAGAGAAGUAAGGGCCGGGUAAGACGGGUGCCAGCCGCCGCGGUAAUACCCGCGGCCCGAGUGGUGGUCGAUAUUAUUGAGCCUAAAACGUUCGUAGCCGGUCUUGUAAAUCCUUGGGUAAAUCGGCCAGCUUAACUGUCCGAAGUCCGGGGAGACUGCAAGACUUGGGAUCGGGAGAGGUCAGAGGUACUUCUGGGGUAGGGGUAAAAUCCUGUAAUCCUAGAAGGACCACCGGUGGCGAAGGCGUCUGACUAGAACGAAUUCGACGGUGAGGAACGAAGCCCUGGGGCGCAAACGGGAUUAGAUACCCCGGUAGUCCAGGGUGUAAACGCUGCGGGCUUGGUGUUGGGGGUCCUUAGUGGGCGCCCAGUGCCGGAGAGAAGUUGUUAAGCCUGCUGCUUGGGGAGUACGUCCGCAAGGAUGAAACUUAAAGGAAUUGGCGGGGGAGCACCGCAACGGGAGGAGCGUGCGGUUCAAUUGGAUUCAACGCCGGACAACUCACCAGGAGCGACGAUUACAUGAAGGCCAGGCUGAUGACCUUGCCUGAUUUUUCGAGAGGUGGUGCAUGGCCGUCGUCAGUUCGUACUGUAAAGCGUUCUCUUAAGUGAGAUAACGAACGAGACCCUCACUAAUAAUUGCUAGCGUUUUCUCUGGAAGGCGCGCACAUUAUUGGGACCGCUGUCGCUAAGACAGAGGAAGGAGAGGUCAACGGUAGGUCCGUAUGCCCCGAAUCUCCUGGGCUACACGCGCGCUACAAAGGACGGGACAAUGGGUUCCGAUAUCGAAAGGUAAAGGCAAUCCCGAAACCCGUUCGUAGUUCGGAUCGAGGGCUGUAACUCGC